UAUAGGAAAAAAAUAGAGUAAAAUGUGUUUUUAAUAUUUAGUCAUUGCAAUAAAUUAAGAUAAAUAAAUUGUAGGUGUAAGAAAUAGAAUUUGGUCAUUGCUACAAUUUUGCAUGUCACUGUAAUUUAACAAUAAUUGUAUUUCUUUGACCAAUAAUUUAUUUAUCGCAUGUUUAUUGCAAGAACUAAAUAUUAUAAACACAUUUACUCUAUUUUUCC
rnacentral:lncRNA from 1 species